UGCAGUCGACGAUGAAGCCUAGCUUGCUAGGUGGAUUAGUGGCGAACGGGUGAGUAAUACGUGAGUAACCUACCUUUAACUCUGGGAUAAGCCUGGGAAACUGGGUCUAAUACCGGAUACGACCAAUCUCCGCAUGGGGUGUUGGUGGAAAGCGUUAUGUAGUGGUUAUAGAUGGGCUCACGGCCUAUCAGCUUGUUGGUGAGGUAACGGCUCACCAAGGCGACGACGGGUAGCCGGCCUGAGAGGGUGACCGGCCACACUGGGACUGAGACACGGCCCAGACUCCUACGGGAGGCAGCAGUGGGGAAUAUUGCACAAUGGGCGCAAGCCUGAUGCAGCGACGCCGCGUGAGGGAUGACGGCCUUCGGGUUGUAAACCUCUGUUAGCAGGGAAGAAGAGAGAUUGACGGUACCUGCAGAGAAAGCGCCGGCUAACUACGUGCCAGCAGCCGCGGUAAUACGUAGGGCGCGAGCGUUGUCCGGAAUUAUUGGGCGUAAAGAGCUUGUAGGCGGUUUGUCGCGUCUGCUGUGAAAGGCCGGAGCUUAACUCCGUGUAUUGCAGUGGGUACGGGCAGACUAGAGUGCAGUAGGGGAGACUGGAAUUCCUGGUGUAGCGGUGGAAUGCGCAGAUAUCAGGAGGAACACCGAUGGCGAAGGCAGGUCUCUGGGCUGUAACUGACGCUGAGAAGCGAAAGCAUGGGGGAGCGAACAGGAUUAGAUACCCUGGUAGUCCAUGCCGUAAACGUUGGGCACUAGGUGUGGGGAACAUUCCACGUUUUCCGCGCCGUANCUAACGCAUUAAGUGCCCCGCCUGGGGAGUACGGCCGCAANGCUNAAACUCAAAGAAAUUGACGGGGGCCCGCACAAGCGGCGGANCAUGCGGAUUAAUUCNAUGCAACGCGAA
rnacentral:rRNA from 1 species